CACAUCUCUUGGAGUUCUAGCUCACCUUUCUGGUGUUGUUCUUGUACUCAUCUGUUUGAUCUAGUUCUGCCACUUCUUCUUGAACUUCUUGUUAGAUUUCAAGUCUGUAUUUUGUGUCCGUGACAGUUUGUCGAGACUACACUAACUUGAGAUAUCAAAGCUAGUUCUUUUUUAGUAGAGUGUGGAUUACCCCUCUACUUGAAGGUAUACUAGCAUUUUUUAGAGGUUGCGGAUUACCCUCCUCUAAACUGUUACUUCUUCUGUUAUAAUAUUGGAGUCUUAUUCUUCUUGGAGAGAGUGGAUUACCCCUCUUCUUGAAAUUCUUAAGGCGUUUUAUAGGUUAUAGAUUACCCUCCUAUAAACCAAUAUUGCCUCUUAUAGGGUCAUUUUUAUCCUUCUUUUAGAAUGGCCGGAGGUCAAGAUAUUAGUAUGACAGAAAGUUCGGAGUCUAAGUUAGAUGCUAUUAUGAAUGCCCUCGCUACGUUAUCACAAAGAACUGUAGAGAUUGAAGGAGUGGUGGCAAGGCUUCAUAAUGAUGGAGUAUCUGGGAUAGCAUAAUCUAAACUACAC
rnacentral:lncRNA from 1 species